rnacentral:rRNA from 1 species
GACGUAGGGGGCCAGCGUUGUUCGGAAUUACUGGGUGUAAAGGGUUCGUAGGCGGUGCGGCAAGUCGGGAGUGAAAUCUCUGGGCUUAACCCAGAGGCUGCUUCCGAAACUGCCGUGCUUGAGUGUGGGAGAGGCGCGUGGAAUUGCAGGUGUAGCGGUGAAAUGCGUAGAUAUCUGCAGGAACACCCGUGGCGAAGGCGGCCUGCUGGGCCGAUCCUGACGCUGAGGCGCGAAGGCGUGGGGAGCGAACGGG